UAUUAAAAAUUUCAUCAAUUCCUACGGUUAAAAAUUGGUGUUGCUAACAAAAUAACUAAAUAGUUACAUGUGGCAUGUCACAUGCUCAUCAUUUUGACAUACAAAGACCAAUUUUAAUUGUAAAAAUGAAUAAAAUUUUUAACA
rfam:Gossypium arboreum cultivar AKA8401 contig_20884_1, whole genome shotgun sequence.